GGUGGCAUUUAAAUCCCAGGCGCUCCUCAGUCUAGGUGAUGCGCAGUCGCCCCCCCAGGCGGCCCAGGCGGCGGCCGCAGCUGCGGUGGCUGCAAGGGCAGAUUCGGAGCGCUGGGGCGAAGGGGAGCGGAGCCUGCCUUCCGAGAGCGCCGACUCCGCUCGCCCCCCCCUUCCUCUGGGAGGUGGGGGCUGGGAGGCAUCUCCCCCACCCCGUCUCCGCCCUCUUCCCCACCGCACAGGAAAGAUGAACUGACGAGAGGUUUAUUUGCCUGGACCCAUCAACAGCUGGGAGACUAAUCAACAACACUGGAAAUGUUCAGGAUUUGUGGGGGAGGAGUUGGAAUGUAGAUGUUUGAAACAAAUGUGUAUAAAUAAAUGAAUUGUUUAUAACUUA